rnacentral:rRNA from 1 species
GAUGAACGCUGGCGGCGUGCCUAAUACAUGCAAGUCGAGCGAACGGACGAGAAGCUUGCUUCUCUGAUGUUAGCGGAGGACGGGUGAGUAACACGUGGAUAACCUACCUAUAAGACUGGGAUAACUUCGGGAAACCGGAGCUAAUACCGGAUAAUAUUUUGCACCGCAUGGUUCGAUAGUGAAAGACGGUCUUGCUGUCACUUCUAGAUGGAUACGCGCUGCAUUAGCUAGUUGGUAAGGUAACGGCUUACCAAGGCAACGAUGCAUAGCCGACGUGAGAGGGUGAUCGGCCACACUGGAACUGAGACACGGUCCAGACUCCUACGGGAGGCAGCAGUAGGGAACCUUCCGCAAUGGGCGAAAGCCUGACGGAGCAACGCCGCGUGAGUGAUGAAGGUCUUCGGAUCGUAAAACUCGGUUAUUAGGGAAGAACAGAUGUGGAAGUAACUGUGCACAUCGUGACGGUACCUAAUAAGAAAGCCACGGCUAACUACGUG